rnacentral:rRNA from 1 species
AUUGAACGCUGGCGGCAGGCCUAACACAUGCAAGUCGAGCGGCAGCGGGACCUUCGGGUCGCCGGCGAGCGGCGGACGGGUGAGUAAUGCCUAGGAAUCUGCCUGUUAGUGGGGGAUAACGCGGGGAAACUCGCGCUAAUACCGCAUACGUCCUACGGGAGAAAGUGGGGGACCCUCGGGCCUCACGCUAACAGAUGAGCCUAGGUCGGAUUAGCUAGUUGGUGGGGUAAAGGCCCACCAAGGCGACGAUCCGUAACUGGUCUGAGAGGAUGAUCAGUCACACUGGAACUGAGACACGGUCCAGACUCCUACGGGAGGCAGCAGUGGAGAAUAUUGGACAAUGGGCGAAAGCCUGAUCCAGCCAUGCCGCGUGUGUGAAGAAGGUCUUCGGAUUGUAAAGCACUUUAAGUUGGGAGGAAGGGCGCUCGGUGAAUACCCAAGCGUCUUGACGUUACCGACAGAAUAAGCACCGGCUAACUUCGUGCCAGCCGCCGCGGUAAGAC